rnacentral:misc_RNA from 1 species
UCUCCGUUGGUGAACCAGCGGAGGGAUCAUUACAGGAUUGAAAGACUCCUAUAACCCCUGUGAACUUACUACAAAUACGUUGCUUCGGCGGGUGCCCCGGGUCUCCCGGGGCGUUCAGCCCGCCGGCAGCCUUCAAAUUCUGUUUCUUUGCGUUGGCAUCUCGAGUAUACAAAAAUAAGUUAAAACUUUCAACAACGGAUCUCUUGGUUCUG